rnacentral:lncRNA from 1 species
CUGUAACAACAUACUGUAGCACCAUGACCAGGAUCUCUAUUCAUUUAAGUGAGCAGAUUAUGGCUUUCAGGAGGAACUGAAAAUCUACUGGAGACUGGUAGACUUGUGGAUUAUGGUCACGGACAGUGCUAUUCGCAAACACUAUCAUCAGAUGCCUGUUAUACACCGAACGCUAAAGCCGCGAACAUGAUCAGAGAGACUAUUCAAGUGAUCGACUCAUCGAAGGAUGAUGAUGAUGAUGAGCGAUCGGCAAAGGCCAUCUGGAAUCUGCAUCACGGUACAAUAUCUCUUUGAUCACAGUCAGAAGACAGUUGAUGAAACUUUGACCCAAUGAGUCAUCUGUCAAACAAAGAACUUCGCGUGCUGCAGGCCCAUGCAUGGAUCAAAGCUGGCGAGACAUUCAAUAACGUCAUCUUCACAGACUAAUCAAGCGUGGCCCUUGAGCAAUUUGCUCAAAAGUGCUACAGAAAAAAGGAAGAAGAUCAUGCAAGCCGAGUUCCAAGCAUCCGCUCAAACUCCAUAUGUGGGGGCAAUUUCUCGCCAGGGACCAGGCCCAUAUUUGAUUUGUGAUGGUAUCAUUGCUCGAGAUUUCUUUGAGGACGAAAUCAUCAAGAGAUAUGCUGGACCCUAUGUCAGAGAGGUGUUUCUGGGUACACAUUGUGUCUUUCUGUCACAGGUGUAGCCGUGUUGAAUAGACCAAAUCGCAGCAGAGUUGUGGAUACUCAUUCUUUUAAUACUUUAGAAUAAAGCAUACACGGGAAAACAAAAAAAACAAUAACCAACGAUAGUGCAACAGUUUUGCAGGCUAUACAAACCGUAGUGCAAAAAACAAUUCCCCACAAACACACAGACAAACACACCCAACUAAUAUAGGACUUCCAAUCAAAGGCAACACCACACAGCUGCCUUCAAUUGGAAGUCCACCCCAAUUACCUCUACAUAGAAACACCCAACCUAGACAGAACAUAGAAAACACAACUUCUUCUGCCACGCCCUGACCAAAACUUAAACUUACUCCCUCUGCUGGUCAGGACGUGACAUUACCCCCCCCUAAAGGUGCAGACCCCGGAAUGCACGUAAAAGAAAAAAAAAAAAAACACCCCCAAACAAAAUAUAUCCCCCUAAACAAUAAGAGAGGGUGGCUGCCGUCACCGAUGGCACUGUGCUACACCCUCCCUCCCCAACCCACCUAUCCUGGAGGUGGCUCAGGUGCAGGACGUGGACCUCGUUCCCCCUUCGGCGUCGCCCACUUCGGUGGCGCCGAUAGCUGCGCCGGAGGACAAUCGGGCCGCUCGGGCUGGGCCGGAGGGCAGGCGGGCCGCUCGGGCUGGGCCGGAGGGCAGUCGGGCCGCUCUGGCAGACCCGGAGGGCAGUCGGGCCGCUCUGGCAGACCCGGAGGGCAGUCGGGCCGCUCUGGCGACGUACGACUGGCGGGCAAAUCUGGCGACUCUUGACUGGCGGGCAGCUCUGGCGACUCUUGACUGGCGGGCAGCUCUGGCGACUCUUGACUGGUGGGCAGCUCUGGCGACUCUUGACUGGCGGGCAGCUCUGGCGACUCUUGACUGGCGGGCAGCUCUGGCGACUCUUGACUGGCGGGCAGCUCUGGUGACUGUUGACUGACGGGCAGUUCUGGCGAACGUCGGACUGGGAUGACGCACUUGAAGCCUGGUGCGUGGUGCUGGUACUGGACGUAUCAGCCUGGGAGCACGCACCUCAGAGCUAGUGCGGGGAGCGGGAACAGGACGAGUCGGACUGGGCUGACGCACUUCCGGGUCCGCACGAGAGACAUGAACUGGAAACCCAGGGCUAUGGAGGCGCACAGGCGGUCUUGAUCUUACCUCCUGCACAACCCGUCCUGGCUGGAUGGAACUAGUAGCCCUGUACGAGCGGGGUGCUUGUACAGGGCGGACUGGGCUGUGCAGGGGCCUGAUGGUAGCCGUGCAUAGAGCGGGAGUUGGGUAGCCUGGUCCUCGGAGGCGUACCGGUGACCAGAUGCGCUGCGCAGGCAUCCUCCUACCAGGCUGGAUGCCCGCUCUAGCACGGCACCUGCGAGGGGCUGGAAUAACGCACACCGGACUGUGCCUGCGUAUGGGUGAGAUAGUGCGCUCUUCAGCGAAACAUGGCGCCCUCCACCUCAUACGCUCCUCUAUAUAACCACGGGUAGCUGGCUUCCGGCUCUUCCUAGGCCUAGCCAAACUACCCAUGUGCCCCCCCAAAAAAAUUAUUGGGGGUGCCUCUCGUGCUUCUCCCUCAGCGUGUCCAAGGCCUCGUACCUCCGCCUCUCUGCCUUGGCUGCCUCAAUUUCCUCCCGUGGGCGACGGUACUCCCCAGCCUGGUGCCAAGGUCCAGCCCCGUCCAGAACUUCCUCCCAGGUCCAUCUCUCCCGC